GAUGAACGCUGGCGGCGUGCCUAAUACAUGCAAGUCGAGCGAACAGAUGAGGAGCUUGCUCCUCUGACGUUAGCGGCGGACGGGUGAGUAACACGUGGAUAACCUACCUAUAAGACUGGGAUAACUUCGGGAAACCGGAGCUAAUACCGGAUAAUAUAUUGAACCGCAUGGUUCAAUAGUUAAAGACGGUUUUGCUGUCACUUAUAGAUGGAUCCGCGCCGCAUUAGCUAGUUGGUAAGGUAACGGCUUACCAAGGCAACGAUGCGUAGCCGACCUGAGAGGGUGAUCGGACACACUGGAACUGAGACACGGUCCAGACUCCUACGGGAGGCAGCAGUAGGGAAUCUUCCGCAAUGGGCGAAAGCCUGACGGAGCAACGCCGCGUGAGUGAUGAAGGUCUUCGGAUCGUAAAACUCUGUUAUUAGGGAAGAACAAAUGUGUAAGUAACUAUGCACGUCUUGACGGUACCUAAUCAGAAAGCCACGGCUAACUACGUG
rnacentral:rRNA from 1 species